UACGAAGGGGGCAAGCGUUGUUCGGAAUUACUGGGCGUAAAGGGCGCGUAGGCGGCCUGUUGCGUCGGGUGUGAAAGCCCCGGGCUCAACCUGGGAGGUGCACUCGAUACGGGCGGGCUGGAAUCCGGGAGAGGAUGGUGGAAUUCCCAGUGUAGAGGUGAAAUUCGUAGAUAUUGGGAAGAACACCGGUGGCGAAGGCGGCCAUCUGGCCCGGAAUUGACGCUGAGGCGCGAAAGCGUGGGGAGCAAACAGG
rnacentral:rRNA from 1 species